AACGAACGCUGGCGGCAGGCUUAACACAUGCAAGUCGAACGCUCGUAGCAAUACGGGAGUGGCGGACGGGUGAGUAACGCGUGGGAACGUGCCCUGAGGUACGGAAUAACUGAGGGAAACUUCAGCUAAUACCGUAUGAGCCCCGAGAGGGGAAAGAUUUAUCGCCUUGGGAGCGGCCCGCGUCGGAUUAGCUAGUUGGUGGGGUAACGGCCUACCAAGGCUUCGAUCCGUAGCCGGUCUGAGAGGACGAUCAGCCACACUGGGACUGAGACACGGCCCAGACUCCUACGGGAGGCAGCAGUGGGGAAUCUUGCGCAAUGGGGGCAACCCUGACGCAGCCAUGCCGCGUGAACGAUGAAGGCCUUAGGGUUGUAAAGUUCUUUUACCCGUGACGAUGAUGACGGUAACGGGGAAUAAGCUCCGGCUAACUUCGUGCCAGCAGCCGCGGU
rnacentral:rRNA from 1 species